AAACAAGGGAGACGGUGGAAGUAGCAAAGGGGGAUGGUGAGUUAGUCCACAAAUUAGUCAUCUGAUUUGUUUGUGUCGAAAAACUGAAGGUUCAUGGGUCUGUAUAUAUUGGUUUCUUUGCCCUUUUUUUUUUUUCUUUUUUUAAAUGCACAAUUAAGGUCUCAAAACAGUACUUUCUUGUGGAGCCAUGCGCGUGCCGUUAUUUUUCCUUGACAUUUUGGACCCUGGUGCUCUUGAGCAGAGCUCGUCCGAGCAUGGAUCAGGCAGUACCUGUUUUAUAAUGGCGAGUGCAUGGUUAAUUAAGCAGACUUUACGUCAUUUGUAAAAAAUAAAAAAUUGUUGUCCUUAAUUCAGCAUGCUAUGUUUUAGUUUUCGUUGAUAUUACUAGGGCAAUAGGCAGAUGUUUGUGUGAUUGACACUUGAAAUUAGCCAUUUGUCUCGGAUUUAUGUCAGCAAGUUUUCUGGUCGCAGCAAUAGAGCGGUUGUGGCUGGGGGGGGGGCCNNNNNNNUCUGAUUCUAAGAUGGAGAAAGUGUCAUGCAGUCUAAAUUAGAUCUUUGAUAGAUUUUGAUGGUUAUGAAUUGUACGGCCAUCCUUUCUUGUUGUCAGAUGUCCUUCUGGUAUUGAAUGAGUUUUGUUCCCAUGAUUUUAAAUGGUUCAAUCAAAUUUUUGAACAAAAUAUCAAGUCCAAGAAUUU
rnacentral:misc_RNA from 1 species